UCAAAACCGACAACCAGAGAAUAAACACUAUGUGAAAAUUGUUACAACACAUAGACUUCACUCUCAAUCACCCCAUGCCCCAAUACACUCACACUCUCCAAAGUAAAUAUUUGAACUACAUCUCAAGUACUUUUAAACAAGAGCAUAAGAGAAAAGCAAAAAGACACAAAUAUAAACUUAAAGUGUUUACAAGUGUUACUGCUUGGUGCAAUUAUAAACAAA
rnacentral:lncRNA from 1 species